rnacentral:rRNA from 1 species
AGUCGAGCGAUCUGCCUUGAAGAUCGGAGUGCUUGCACUCUGUGAAACAAGAUACAGGCUAGCGGCGGACGGGUGAGUAACACGUGGGUAACCUGCCCAAGAGAUCGGGAUAACACCUGGAAACAGAUGCUAAUACCGGAUAACAACAGAUGAUGCCUAUCAACUGUUUAAAAGAUGGUUCUGCUAUCACUCUUGGAUGGACCUGCGGUGCAUUAGCUAGUUGGUAGGGUAACGGCCUACCAAGGCGAUGAUGCAUAGCCGAGUUGAGAGACUGAUCGGCCACAUUGGGACUGAGACACGGCCCAAACUCCUACGGGAGGCAGCAGUAGGGAAUCUUCCACAAUGGACGCAAGUCUGAUGGAGCAACGCCGCGUGAGUGAAGAAGGGUUUCGGCUCGUAAAGCUCUGUUGUUGGUGAAGAAGGACAGGGGUAGUAACUGACCUUUGUUUGACGGUAAUCAAUUAGAAAGUCACGGCUAACUACGUGCCAGCAGCCGCGGUAAUACGUAGGUGGCAAGCGUUGUCCGGAUUUAUUGGGCGUAAAGCGAGUGCAGGCGGUUCGAUAAGUCUGAUGUGAAAGCCUUCGGCUCAACCGGAGAAUUGCAUCAGAAACUGUCGAGCUUGAGUACAGAAGAGGAGAGUGGAACUCCAUGUGUAGCGGUGAAAUGCGUAGAUAUAUGGAAGAACACCGGUGGCGAAGGCGGCUCUCUGGUCUGUUACUGACGCUGAGGCUCGAAAGCAUGGGUAGCGAA